GGGGCUUAUCCAACAAGCUGUCACCUUCAGUGUACUAAUCUUAAUGCAACAGCUGUUUUAUUUGCUCUACUGUGUAAUGAAUACCUUUUUUUUUUUUUUUUUCUGUGCUCCCUCUACGGUGUUACGAUGUUAGAAACUGUGAGGAUAGCAGUCUUGCUAUGUACACAAAAGCAUGUGUUAAUUGUUUCUAGGUGUGUUCUCUUAAAAAAAAAAAAAAAAAAAUAGAAUAAGGCUAUGUAAGUGUUUUGUUUCCAUCUGUUAUCUGUCAUUGGUUUUCAUGUUUUGUAUGACCAUGGUGUCUUUUGAUACAGGGAUAUUCCUGCACUGAGCUUUGAGUCUGCUUGUUAUGAGCGGUAAUUGCCUCUACUUUAUUUGGUGUUAUAUAUAUAUAUAUAUAUAUAAUGAUGAUCUUAUAGGACCAAAACAGAAAUAAAACAGCCUAAAUGAGUAGCUAAUGCAGUAUGUAUGCCUUUUCCAUAAAAUGUCUUCCCUACAUACAAAUGCCAAUGUUCAGGCCCCAUAAAGUGUCAACAAUGAACUGAAAUGCGUUCUUUUUAAAGCUAAUUCACCAAACCUAAACUAAGAAUACUUUGGUGUUCAGCAACUUUUAGGCUGGAAUCCAAACUUGAGAUCUGUGCGCCAAAACUUGACACGUACAGAUCGAAAGUUAGAAUUCGGCCCUCACGUGCUAGAUUUAGUUCAAACCAAAGGAGCAGAAGAAGACAACAUUUUGUGUGCUGUUUCACUGACGCUGAUGUUUGUGCUGUUUUUCCCCACAAUGAUGUUUCCUGUGGUGGCUGAGAGCGAGACAAGAGUCCAGCACUUCCUUCUCCAGGCCGGGCUCCCCUUUCAGAGAGACAAGACCUCCACAAGGCCACUUAUCAAGGGUAAGUCAGAACUUCUCUUCCCUGCCUUGGUUCCUUCAGUCUCCUCUUUCUGCUUUGGUGCCCAUGUAAGACUGGAGACCAGGGAAGAUGUUCAACGAAUGAGCCCCUGUGGAUAUUUCUCAAAUAGAAAAUGUAAUGUUAUGUAACACAUUUGUCUACAUCCUUCACUUUAUUCAAUGUAAUCUUGUACACUACUGUUUCCUUAUGAUAUAACAUCAAUGUGCAUGCUUUGUCCUUAAUUGAGAACAUAACGUGUUCAUUUUUCAUUUGGCGUAUUAAUAUAAUAAACAUAGGCACAGACUA
ensembl:lncRNA